rnacentral:rRNA from 1 species
UACGGAGGGGGCUAGCGUUGUUCGGAAUCACUGGGCGUAAAGGGCGCGUAGGCGGCCGAUUAAGUCGGGGGUGAAAGCCUGUGGCUCAACCACAGAAUUGCCUUCGAUACUGAUUGGCUUGAGACCGGAAGAGGUAAGUGGAACUGCGAGUGUAGAGGUGAAAUUCGUAGAUAUUCGCAAGAACACCAGUGGCGAAGGCGGCUUACUGGUCCGGUUCUGACGCUGAGGCGCGAAAGCGUGGGGAGCAAACAGG